ACUGCCCGCCCCUCCAGCGGGGGAGGGGGCGCCGGGGCCGGGCCGGGGCGGAGCCAGGCGGGGGGCGCUCCCGCAGAUCUUUGGCAUGUUCUGAACCUGAGUUUUACACGUACUUGAUGUACUAAUGCUACAAACAUGAGGACUGUUCCCUAAGAGCCGGAGUCCAGCUGGAAUACUGCAAAAGUACAAGGUUAUCCAGUGAGAACCAACCUACAUGAGGAUGUUUUACAGCCAUGUUACCCUGUGCUGUGCAAGAGGAGACAAUACUGUGAAUUAGAAAAGAUGCUGAGAUUAAAUCUCCUUUUUCCUCUUGAAAACUCCGACUUCCAAACUGUAAAGUUUUAAUCUGACUACAUCUACAAAGAGAGGAGAUCUUUUCAUUUUAAAG